UAUUCCAGUUUUUAAACACACAGUCAGAGUUUGCUUUAUACUUUAUUCUGUUGUUAUAACAGCAAUAUCCAAUUCUGGGUCACAGGGAGCCAGAGCCUCUCCUGUUAGCAUCGAGAGCAGCCAUGAACAGAACAGCAAGGAAAACUGAAGUAUAUGGAGACAAAGUUAUGCAGAUGUUAUGCUUUAGACAAAUUAACAUUUAAAAGAAAGACAAUACUCCUACAGUGUCUAUGUUCAAUGACAACAGAGGAUGCAGAAGAAGAUAUGUGUUUAUUGUAUCACUAAAUAGGACUGCCAAGAUAACUAACAGAUGCACAACUAUAGGCGGCAGCCUAUUGGAACAUAUCAAAACUCUCAGUAUGAAAAUUUCAAAUUAAAUUUGAGUUAUCUUAUACAAUAGUUCUGAACUGGCUCUGGGAAAUAUGCAAAUGAACAAAGUUACACUAUUGACUACACCACCUGCUAAAUCCACCAGUUGCAUGGGGUUGAAUUUGGUGACAGUCAUACAAUAAAGACUAAUGGAAAAAAUGAUUUCUGAGUAGGCUGCAAGCAAUCAGUUUUACAAAACCACUUGGCAAAGUCUUCAUAUCAAAGUCCUUCUGUGCUGCCUGCAAGCAUUUGGCCCAACUUCUUAUUUUAAAAUCACUUCUGGAUUACAUCUUGAUAUUUCACAUAAAAACAAUGAUAGCAUUUUAUGGUCUGUUAGUGAGCCCUUAACCCACUGUUAUUACAAUUAUGUUUACAAUUUUUAUGCUAAUUAUGUAUUAGACAAGUGGCUAUAAACUAAAAUGGAGUUUUAAUUGUAAAUAAAAAAGCUUUGAUUUCUUUAUGCUUCUCUACUUCUUCCUCCUUGUUUUACAUCAUCAUGCCUAACCUGCAACACACAGAGCUCUUUCUGUUUCCCAGUAACAUGGCUGCUCUGCAUUCCCUCUGAUUCAUAUUGCAGGCUCUGGCUCAUCCAAUUUCUCUUACCAUUUGCAUCUUUCCCCCCUUGAUAGUGGUAUUUCCCAGCCCCCAACCCAGAGUGCCUGUGCUCUUCAUACAGCUCUGCGUCUCCCACACACUCUUUCUCCUUCUCCUUGAUGUGAUAUUGAUUCACCUUUCCUCUUUCCUUCUGCGGUCUGGACCACAAGCUGCCGGAUCUAAGAGAGUGAGACCCAAGCAGGAAGGAGACACUGUCACGGCCUCAGGUGUUUUUCUCAUCUGCUGCUGGAAGGAAUGAAGCAGUAAACAGAGGAAAGACGUCUCCUACACAAAACCUGUCUCACAUACGGAAUUUGUGUGAUUGGGGCAAUUAACAAUAAGUUGCUAUUUUGUCUAACCAAGGAGACAGGAUCAAACAUCUCUGAGCAAGACCACACUGCAAUGGAGUCUCGAUCAAGGCACAGUGGCUCAAAAAUGGAGGGCAAAGCAACAGGAAAGGCAGAGAAAACAUCUGGAAGUAGUGUGGAAAAGAAAGAGACUAAAUCUGGUGAACUCACCCCUCAGCCACGAAAACAAGUCAGUGAGACACCAUCUGAGCCAUUAAAAGCUGGCAAUACGGCUGCAGGAGAUAAUACUGGAAAGCAGGUGCCACCAGUGACAGAGGUCAAUGAGGAUGGAAGUGCAGAGGAUAACAAACAGGCUGCUGGGCAGAAUGGGGAUAAUCAGGCAGGUGAAGGCAAUGAUACCUCUGAGCGCCUGAAGCCUUUUCUCAUUGGCGGUGCUGCCAUUGUUGCUGUUGCUGUGGUCAUUGCCAUGGUAUUGCUUGCACGCAAGAAAUGAAGAGCUUCCUUGGGCUUAUGUAAAUAUAGUAGUAAUGUAUAGAACUAGAGGGGCACCGAAACACAUGCACAAAUACAGGUAGAGAUUGGCCAAAACAAAUGGGCACUUAGGAAAGGAAGGGGCUACAUGGAUAGAAAAAGAAACCUUUCAGUCUUCAUUUGUAGUACUUCACUGUUCACUUAAAGUACCAAAGAUUCAAAAUUAAACCUGAUUCAACUAAUAUUUCCUCAGUUUCUAAAUUUGAAUCCACAACCUUGCAGAUACCUGUACAAUUAAAUCAUUGUCUGAAAAUACUUUCAUCAUUGGUCAAUCCUGUGUACGGCAAUGCAUGUUGGCACCUUUAGUUUGACAUGAAGGAUUUAGUUGGGCCACAAUGUAACAGCCCCAAAGGAUAACUUGCCUCCAUUUUCUUGGUAGCCUGUUAAGCAGGCGGGUGGGAUAAACCUGUUGAGGCUUUUAAUGUCACCUCAGAGGUCUUCCUGUCUGAGCAAGCAGAAAACAAAAAGUCUGAAAAAAGUUAGAUUUCAUUCCCUCUCCACUGCACGGUUUAAAAUCUGUAUUUGGUUUGGAAACGUAAUUAAUAAUUAUUUUUCUCAUAAAUGGAAAAAACGUGAUAACCUGGACCAUCACAAAAAUAUUCUAUGAAGAAAAUACUCUGGAGUGUAGGAUCAAUAAUUAGAACAAGUGGUACAUAUUGUUUUAACAUAAAUUCUACUUAUGCCACUCAAUAUAAACAGUACUGUUAUCUUUUGUAGACUUUUUUGAACGUAAUAUGGAGCAAUAGCUAUCCAGAAAACUGAAUAGGUCUCUCUUAGACUUCAUUUGUUUCAUUUUAAUCUUAUUUAGAGUCUUGCAAUAAAGUACCCCCUUUUUGCAGCCUGAAAAAAGGGGCAAAAGUUAUUCCCAGUUUGAAAAAAGAAAAUAAGUUAACGGAGGCAAACUUUCUAUGAAUGAUGACAGUCAAAAUGCUUCAUCUCUACCAUUUUUGUUUAUCAGUGUGGGAAUAAUCUUCAACCUCUCAAUUAAGCAAGCACUACCUUUGCGAAAAUUAAUUGAAGUAGUAACAAACAUCUUCAUGUGUGGGGUAUGUAAAAGAAAAUAAUAUUUUUGGUGUUUAUUUGAUAAUACUGUGAAUUCCCUGUUGUCCAUGUGCCUUCACUAGUGACCACUAAACUAAACGGGUUAAAUGGUGAAGCAAAGCCAUCUCCUCUGAUAGUAUAAAUAUAUGAUACAGUAAAAGCAAACUAAAUAUGGUCAAAUAUCCACAUGAAAUUGUUAAAAAUAUAUCCAAAUAGACUUGACAAAAUGGAGGGAUGGCUCACAAUGAUAGGGUUAAAUACUUUGGGUAAAACAUGUUGCAUUUUACGGAGUGUAUAUAUACUGUCUGCUCAGUCAGGUACCAAAGUAAAACCUGCACUGUGGGCCAUUCCAGCUUUGAAAAGUACACUGAUCACACUCUGGUGUCUGUGUACAUACUUGUGUGUGUUCAUGUGUCCAGGCCCCACUGACAUUUUCACCCCCUCUUGUGUAACUCAUGAAGCAGUAAGAGCACGAGGGCAUAACUUUGAAUGUGUGUCCCUGUGGCUUAGCUUCUUUUCAAAGUCACUGUCCAAGCGAAUGUCUUGUGUUCAUUCUGGCACUCUGCAUGGUUUGAUCCCUUGGCCUGUUUUUCAUUAUGCUUAGUAAUAAGAAUAUACUCUUACUGCUCCUCCUCUAAUACUACUACUAGUGAUGAUAAUGAGACUAAAGUUCAAGUUUUACCUUAAUUUUGUUUUUAAACCAGAGCGUAUAAAUGCAAUAAUGCAGGUAGGAUAAAACCUUAGAUGGGAAAUACUAGUGAUAUUAUAUAUUAUAGUUGUGUAGUUCACACCACAGCCCCUUGACUGCUCUUUCAAACUAAUAAAAAAUGGUAUUAACCAAUCCCAGCCCUUUGUCUCUGUACUCUGAUUAGUCACAGUGUGUAUUAGCUUCAUAUCCACUAACUGGCACAAAGAAACUUGACUGUCUGCAUGGAAAGCAUACUGGCGGUAACCCUUGCUUUGUAAAUAGAUUUGAUUCUGAUUGCUAUAUUAGAAAAGUGUCUUCAGUGUCAUUUCUUCUGCUUCAAUUUCUUUUAUCCAUAAGGUAGCACUUAACAAACAUGGGACAAAUCCAUCUUUUAAGUAAGCAAAUAUUUGUCUUCUUAUUCCAUUGAAAAUGAAUUCCAGCCUUAGAAUCAGAGUCUGAGCUUUGCCAAUAUCUGCUGAUUCUGAAGACCCAUUCUGUCUUGGAGGGAUUUGGGAGUCCUGGUCUUUUUGAAUGCAGGCUUAUGAUUAAUAUUAUGACUUUUCUGGAUCAGCUUGAAGAAAUGGUGCACACAAGCUUAAAACAGCCUUUAAAGUUUGUGACUGGAACAAUAAAAAUAAGUUGAAAUUGUGCUCUUUUAGAAACUAGCCAGUGCCGAGAUGGAGCGAUAAUAAGGAACAUGGUCUUGAAAUAUAUGAAACAAUGACAACUUUAGCUCUUUCAGUCAUCAACACUGUUUAGAUUUAUUUUCAAUGAAAGCAUCACUGAAUGAGCUUGGUGUGUCAAUUAUUACAUGAGAGCCCAUCACAAUAGUUAGUAACUUUGGGUCAUAUAAGAGAGGAUUUCAUUCUUCAUUGUACACUAAAUGGGUUUUAGCCCUUUCUUCUGGAAAACCUUGUUAUUCCUUUCUUUUCUAGAACAAUGGAUUCUGCCAACAACUUUGUAAUUCUUAAUAUUUUUGUCUUUAAGAAUUUCCUUUUCAUUAUUUUUUUUCUUUACUACUUGUACAUUAAGAUAUUCUCAUCCCAAUCAGGUUUGGUUUUCUGCUCAUGUGGCCCUGAACUGGACCACAUUGUAUGAUAACUAUAGAUAGAGGCAUGGAUUUGUCUAUUCAUCAGAAUUCUCAGUAACGACAUUGCCAACAUUCCUUGAUUUCUUGUAAUAAAAUCUUUUUUUAUUUAACAGAUAGUCUUGGUACUACAGUAGUCCCUGAUCCAUUUCAUGUACCUGAUGGAACAAUCUACUAUGGCCAUCUACUUACUACCUUUAAGUUCAAACUAUCUUAUUCAAU